GACGAACGCUGGCGGCGUGCUUAACACAUGCAAGUCGAACGGAAAGGCCCUGCUUUUGUGGGGUGCUCGAGUGGCGAACGGGUGAGUAACACGUGAGUAACCUGCCCUUGACUUUGGGAUAACUUCAGGAAACUGGGGCUAAUACCGGAUAGGAGCUCCUGCUGCAUGGUGGGGGUUGGAAAGUUUCGGCGGUUGGGGAUGGACUCGCGGCUUAUCAGCUUGUUGGUGGGGUAGUGGCUUACCAAGGCUUUGACGGGUAGCCGGCCUGAGAGGGUGACCGGCCACAUUGGGACUGAGAUACGGCCCAGACUCCUACGGGAGGCAGCAGUGGGGAAUAUUGCACAAUGGGCGGAAGCCUGAUGCAGCAACGCCGCGUGCGGGAUGACGGCCUUCGGGUUGUAAACCGCUUUCGCCUGUGGCGAAGCGUGAGUGACGGUACUGGGUAAAGAAGCACCGGCUAACUACGUG
rnacentral:rRNA from 1 species